CCCAGAAUCACUGUUAAUUCUACCGAAUGAACCAGCACCAAUGCAAAACAGUUGUUGUCACGGAAUAAACCAUCACCAUAAAGGGAAAAAAAGAAAACUGGAAGUUGUGGUAAGUGGGUCUGAUCUGAAACUACCACCAGUUUUCAGGAACAUAUUCAGCAGAAUCUUGGGGCGGGGGGGGGGGCGGGGAGUCCUGUUUCAAUGGCCUUCUAUUUUAUACUGGUUUAUUUUUUAUUUAUCAUCUCUCUCUUGUGUUCAUGCUUCUCAUAUGAAAUCAUCACAUAACUAAAAAUGAUUCGCUAUGUAGCAUAGUGAUGCCAUUAUGUUUGCUGUGUGAUCCUUGAUUGGCUGGGAUAGCCCAUAUGAUCAAUCUAUUGUCUUCACAUUCAAUUGUCUUAAUUUACCUUCAGUGGUAUCAUCAUGUAGCCAAAUUGUAAUGGCUAUGUAGUGCAGCAAUAGCUACUCAUUCAUUACAUAAUCCUCAUUUGGCUGGGACACAGACACACCCAACAUUCACACACAUCAAUACUCUUGGAAAGAAAGGGUAGCAGUAACUGUGACAGAAGAAAUAAUUCCACGGCGAUUGUAAAGCAAGGACUAAGGCAAAAGAAAAAGAAAAGGAGUGAAAAGAGGGUACAUUUGCACAGUCAAAUGGCUUUUAGGGAGAUAGUUCGACACACCAAAAUCACUACUGAUUUGUUGUUCCGCCUGGCCUUUGGCUUGGAGCCAAUUUGAUUCCCUCCCUCUCUUUCUUUUUUCUUUUCCUUCUCCUCCUGUGAUGAGGCUACAUUUUAAUAUUUCAAAAUUUUAAUGUUGUAUUUAAUUUUUUUUUUAAGUUGUAAUCAUUCAACUUGUUUUUAUUAUUGCUUGUAAACCACUCUGAGCCCGGCCUUGGCUGGGGAGGGCGGGGUAUAUAUAUAAAAAAAUAUUAUUAUUAUUUCACACACCCCCAUUGAAACUGGAGAAUAUUUGGUACAGCCCUAAUGUCAUAUGCAAUGUUACACACAUAAAUUUGUUUCAUUUUUUAAAAAACUCCCAUCAAUUUUCGGGCUUAAUUGUGAAUGCAAUGCCUAUAUUUUAGCAGAAUUUUGAGAGAUAUUAUUAAUUUUUCUCUGAAUUGUCUGCUAUUGAUAUCAAACCAUAUCACUUUGCAGAGAAACACAAGCAAUAAAAGAUUCCUGUCCCAAGGAGCUUGCUUCCACAUUAACUACGUAACAUCUCACCCACUGAAAUCAAUAAGGCUUAAACAUGCUGAAUUUCAGCUCGUGUACGUUGCACUUUUUGAAAUGUAUCUCUUGGGAUUCUUCGAAAUAAAGUUGACGUACAAAAUUCUAGACACAUUGCUAAGGAGGUGGGGUGUACUCUCUAAGCUUUCAUAUCUUUGCAUUGGCUUGAAAACUAACGACUGUAUGGUUUUUGAGAUUAUAGUCACUUCACAUGAACAAGCUCGCCACCUGUUAGAAACUGCCAAACAAACAAAAGUGAAAUUGUUAUAAUGCACCUGUUUUGCUCCGAUGAAUCUGUCCAGAAUGACGGAAGCAGAAUAACAUUGGCAGCAGCAACCUCAAAUCUUGACUAUCCCUUGAUGCACAUCUGGGCCUUGCUAGGCCCAACUUGACCACCAACUUGAGUAAACAUUGGAGCAGCCAUGCUGGGCCAAAAUGGAUGACAAUUGAAAAGUGAGCUGCUUGGAACCUUUGCUAAAUCACAGUGACACAUUUUGGCACCUUAGGUCUCAGGGAUAAGGUGCUAAAGAAAACAACAAUGGGCACCUCAACAAAUGUGAAAUUAUAACAUUACUGGAUUGUUUUAAAGACUAUGCAAGAAUAUGAAUAACUGCCAAAAGCAGUGAUUUCAUUUACGCUUUUCCUUAGUUAGAUUAUGGCCGGCCUUUAGCAGCUUCUGUCAUGGGUUUGCUUAAGUGAUGAAUUUGAGAGGCAAGAUGGAAAAACCUGGUCCAGUCACUGAUCAAUAUAAAAUAUUUCACAGGCUCAUUUUUCUCUCCUCCUUUUUAGCCCUUGGUCACACACACCUCUCCUUCACCUAGCAGAAAACAACAUGAUCUGGACCCACACCAUUGAUUGGGUGACAAUGACCUUUAUUCUAAGGUGCUAAGAAUGAUAAAAAAAUAAAGAAAUCUAGGUUUCCUAAUAAUAAAAAAAAAACUAAGGCAGCUCGGGAAGUUUUGAGGACAAAUCUUCAGCUAGAUAAAAAAACAGCAAGCCUAAGCUUCACAUUAAAACAACUGAUUGCUUUGACAGCACAAUUAUAAUGCUAUUCUUAUGUCACUCUUAAUCUAUAUUUUCUAAAUGCUAUAUUACAUUAUAUUCUGUUUUACUAAGUCUUUAUUCAAAGCUCACAAUAUGAUUUUCUAUAUGAAAAUUAUGCUGUUCUCUGAAUGAAGCUGUACAUAUAGAAAAAUUGCUCCCUGACACAUCAGGACCAGAUUAAAUCAUUUGUUUUAUAUUUUAUGAUUUUAUAAUUUAUAAUGAUUUAAUUUAAGUAUUUUUUAAUGAGUAGGUGGUUUAUAAAUAUCUCUUUAAAUAAAAACAAAUAAACUGCACCACCAAAUUAAACAUGGGAUAUAUCUUUUCAUCACUUAAAAGUCAGAGGAGAUAUAAUUAAAGUGGCAUUGUGUGAUACUGAUCUGUAUCAAGUUAUCUAGCCACACAAAUAUUUUGAUAUUGUUGAAAUGCAAGUGAGAGAAACAUAUCUAUAUAAUUCUGAGAUUGUCAAAGAAACGUGUUAUUCAAAGGAUAGCAGCCUGACAGAGACACAAAGAUUUGUGUGUCUCGAAGACCAAGAGGAGUGUAUCUGGGAAAGGGCAGGCCUGAUCAGGAGAGAAACCAUUUUAGUAAUUGAAGGUCUUAAUUUUAUUCAGAAGGCAUGGCUUCAUGAUACUCAUUGACAUCAGAGAAAACCUCAAGGGGCUCAACAUCUGUGUGCUUGCUGUUGUUCGGGGGCACGUCAGAUUCACAUCACUGAACAACACAAGCAGAUAAAAUGUUCAGAAACACACCUGCCGCUAACCAAUUUCCAAGAGAUGGUAUCUCUGCUGAGUUGCCCAUUCCAGUUGAUUUUAGUCCACCUCAACCACACAAAGCUGCAUUUCUGCUACACAGAAAGCUCAUGGAUUAUCCUGCCACAGUGGUGCUGCUUCUUGACAACUUGUGGCAGUUGCUCAAGAGUUCAUGGAUGCCAGGAGACAGGUGCCUAGCUUGAAUAGUGCAACCAGAAUUCUCCCAAGGUAAAAUAGUUGGGCUUGAGACAUGGGGAGGAAUUCAAUAUUGCACAAAGGUGAUCAGUCUGUCAGGGCAAGCAUUUAGGCUUACUAGAUGGAAUAAGCCCACCCUCUCAUCCCUCCACAAACUGUUCGGGGGGGGAGUUCUUACUGUUGGAGAAAAGGAAAUGCAUUUAAUCCUCUUGUGCUUUUAGCUAAUACAUAUGUUACUUUAAAACACACAUGUCUAGUGAUGUAGCCACCUCCUGUUUAUAGCUUCUUUGUCUAAGUUAACUCCACCCCUAAAAGCUGAGACAUUUUGAGAUUGGGAGAUGUCUGCCAUUUUUCUCUCUCUAAUCACUCAUUCUGUAAAUAGUUCCUGCAUGAAUAAAGCCAUUGAACUCCAACAACUAUGAUUAUUCAAAUCUAAUUCACCCAAGCUGCAAGGUUUGCUAACACUUCCAACCAACCUCAUUCACAGUUGUUGUUGCUGCCACCAGUUCACGAACAAUGCAUAAUUGAUUACUUUUCUUCCCAUUUGCACUGUGUUGCAUUGACAUGAACGGAGUAGAAUAAUGUAACUUAAUUAAUUUGCAUAUGGAAUUAAUUUACAUACUAAAUUAAUUUAGUUGCAUUGACAUUAUGUAAAGUACAUCAUUUCAUCACAGUGGACAACAAGACAAAUAAUAUUUUUGGCAGAGAACAAACUGAAGCGGAAGGGAAACAGCGUUACAUGUGACAAAUACAGGUUGGAACAAAAAGUGAUGCCUUCUUACAUGCCUAUGCACCACAAACAAUUCUGAAGAACAGCUCAGCAUAACCUCUGUGCAAGCUUUUUUUUUGCAAGCAAAUCAGGAUGAAUGCUCAAUAAACAGGUAACCUGGAGAAGACUGCUCUCUUAGGCAGAGCCUGUGUUUUGCCAUACACAUACACGCACAGAAACAAACACACAUACUGUGCACGGCUACUAUAGACACUUGAGAAAGAAGAAUAAUCCACUGUCACCACUUUCACAUUAUGUGCAAAACAGCCUUUCAACAAGAUAACCACUGUGUAUUUUCAGGUCACAGAGGGAGCAAGGCAGGCAUAGAAAGAACAGGAGAAUCAUAUCCUUUUUCUCUCCUGUAAGGUAAAAAAAAACACAAAAAAACAAAAAACCCUGACAGGGUGAAGAGACAAGAUGACAGCCCAUAAGAGACAACAUUAGCACAUUACUAUUUUAGACUGCUAUUUGAUUUUGAUACCAUUCCUAUUUUACUCUUAGAAUGAUAUGUCUAAAAAUGAUGGUUGUCCUGGACGUCAGGUGAGGCUGUCAAUUCCUGUUCUCUCCAGGUCAUCCCUGGACAUCUGGCAACCCUAUCUUAAUGUCACUGCAAUCAUGCUUUGCUGGCUUGCUACAUCCCUCAAAUGAACUGUGCUCCAGAUGAUAUUUAAAGGUCAUCGCCGAGGAUUGCUCUCUCUCUCUCUUACCCUUGACUAAAUCUCCCAUGGCACAGGAUCGAAAGAAAUUCUCCAGGUGAUGUUAGCACCCAUGAGAAAGGGUGUGUGAUUUCUCAGUAUGUCUCUAAACUUCUUUUUCUGGGAGCAGGCAGUUGUCUGGUCAAGGGCACAGUUCCUUUGCUUUUUAAUACAUGGGUAUUUCCACCACUACCACCUUCAGAUGCUGAGGUGUGGGGAGUAGACAGAGCUAUGAACCCCAUGUAGCUGACCUGCACCCACUACACAAGUUUGCUGCCCCCAAGUGUAGUGAAGGAUACUGUCUAUUCACUACCAGUUCAAAUGGUAUGUGUCAUCUUGACCUUCUCCUCAGGCAGCAAAAUGUCUUGAGCUGGCCGGGAUACGUAAGCUAUUGCUAAUCAGUUCCUCAUUUAAAGCACAGAUACAUCUAGCUAUAUUGUCCUAAGAUGACUGACAGGGAGAUAAUUCAGACAAGUCUGAAAAGAAAUACCCAAAUUGUCAUGCAAAUAGACCCAUGGGCUAUUGAUUUUUCUUGUUCAAAUCAGGAAGCCAGUGUGUUAAUUGUGACAACUGUGUCUAUUUUCUGCAGAGAAAAGGGCUGUUUAUUCCAAGGUUAUCCGUUCUCUUCCUCUGAAGAUCUGAAAAAGAACUUAAGAUACUACCAUACAGAUUCUGUAGGCCUUAUACCAAUAUAAGUUCAAAUUGUUUUUCCCGCCUGACCAUGUUCUCUGUCCUAAAACAAGGCUGAAUGACAAACUGAUUGUCAAGCAAAA